GUGUUUGCUUUGGCAGCACAUACACUAAAAAACUGGAAUGAUACAGAGAAGAUUAGCAUGGCCCCUGAACAAGGAUGACAUGCAAAUUCAUGAAGCAUUACAUAUUUUU
ensembl:snRNA U6 U6 spliceosomal RNA